AUAAUAGUUAUGUUCUUUAAACCUAAAGAAUUUGGCGGUGUUUUAUUCUAUUCAGAGGAAUUUGCCCUAUUAUCGAUAGUCCUCGUUUUAUCUUACUUUAUUUUGUUUACAGUUUGUAUAUCGCCGUUAUAAGUUUAUUUUUAUAGAAUUUUAAUUUACUUUAUUAUUUAUUAAUAUUUAUUUCAGGUCAAGGUGCAGCUUAUAUUAAAGUGGAGGUGAAUUACAAUAUUAUUUAUAUAAAUGGAUUUUUAUUUUAAAAUUUAAAUUGAAAGUGGAUUUGUUAGUAAUUUUAAUUAUAAAGUUAUUUUGAUUUUAGUUCUAAAAUAAGUACACAUCGCCCGUCGCUCUA
rnacentral:rRNA from 1 species